rnacentral:pre_miRNA from 1 species
UAGUUACUCCCUCGUUCGGAAUUACUCGUCGCACAAAUGAAUGUAUCUAGAUGUAUUUUAGUUCUAAAUACAUUCAUUUUCACGACAGGUAAUUCCGAAGGGAGGGAGUAGUUU